rnacentral:rRNA from 1 species
GAUGAACGCUGGCGGCGUGCCUAAUACAUGCAAGUCGAGCGAACAGACGAGGAGCUUGCUCCUCUGACGUUAGCGGCGGACGGGUGAGUAACACGUGGAUAACCUACUUAUAAGACUGGGAUAACUUCGGGAAACCGGAGCUAAUACCGGAUAAUAUAUUGAACCGCAUGGUUCAAUAGUGAAAGACGGUUUUGCUGUCACUUAUAGAUGGAUCCGCGCCGCAUUAGCUAGUUGGUAAGGUAACGGCUUACCAAGGCAACAAUGCGUAGCCGACCUGAGAGGGUGAUCGGCCACACUGGAACUGAGACACGGUCCAGACUCCUACGGGAGGCAGCAGUAGGGAAUCUUCCGCAAUGGGCGAAAGCCUGACGGAGCAACGCCGCGUGAGUGAUGAAGGUCUUCGGAUCGUAAAACUCUGUUAUUAGGGAAGAACAAAUGUGUAAGUAGCUAUGCACGUCUUGACGGUACCUAAUCAGAAAGCCACGGCUAACUACGUG